GACGAACGCUGGCGGCGUGCCUAAUACAUGCAAGUCGAGCGGGCCUCCGGAGGUGCUUGCACCUCCGGACGGCCAGCGGCGGACGGGUGAGUAACACGUGGGCAACCUGCCUUUGAGGCCGGGAUAACACCGGGAAACCGGUGCUAAUACCGGAUACGUCCUCUUUCGCGCCUGCGAGAGGGGAGAAAGACGGUCUUUAAGGCCGUCGCUCAAAGAGGGGCCCGCGGCGCAUUAGCUGGUUGGGGGGGCAAGGGCCUACCAAGGCGACGAUGCGUUGCAGGCCUGGGAGGGUGAUCGGCCACACUGGGACUGAGACACGGCCCAGACUCCUGCGGGAGGCAGCAGUAGGGAAUCAUCCGCAAUGGGCGAAAGCCUGACGGUGCAACGCCGCGUGAGUGAGGAAGGUUUUCGGAUCGUAAAGCUCUGUUGUGAGGGAAGAACAGCAUCCGGAGGAAAUGCCGGAGGUUUGCCGGUACCUCACCAGAAAGCCCCGGCUAACUACGUGCCAGCCGCCGCCGUAACAC
rnacentral:rRNA from 1 species